rnacentral:SRP_RNA from 1 species
GCCGGGCGUGGUGGCUCACGCCUGUAAUCCCAGCCCUUUGGGAGGCCGAGGUGGGUGGAUCACCUGAGGUCAGGAGUUCGAGACCAGCCUGACCAACAUGGAGAAACCCCAUCUCUA